UACGUAGGGGGCAAGCGUUGUCCGGAAUCAUUGGGCGUAAAGAGCGCGUAGGCGCCCAGUAAGUCCGCUCUGAAAGUCAGAGGCUCAACCUCUGAAUGCGGGUGGAUACUGCUGGGCUAGAGUCCGGAAGAGGCGAGUGGAAUUCCUGGUGUAGCGGUGAAAUGCGCAGAUAUCAAGGAGGAACACCGAUGGCGAAGGCAGCUCGCUGGGACGGUACUGACGCUGAGGAGCGAAAGCGUGGGGAGCGAACAGG
rnacentral:rRNA from 1 species